ensembl:lncRNA
CCGCCGGCCGUUGGUGGGCGGGGCGCUGGAGUCGGCCGGGGUCCCCCAAAUCCAGCCGGAAACAGUUGGCGAGUAAAUGUCUACGGGAUCCUUGUGUUGCUUCAGGCGUCCUGACGACAGGCUGCUUGAGAUCCGCUGUGGGCUGAUGAUACCUCCUGGAGAUGCUCUCUUAAAUGUCCAGAUUUUCCCACUGGCAAAUGGGCCGGCAAUAUUGCGCUCACGUUCGGGAACGAGAUGCACGGUCAGCGUGUGAAAUGGCACAGCUGCGUGGCCUGCUGUUUGAAUGCAUGGCUUGACAAGCAGUUCAUAGGUCCGCACCCGGGAGAUGAACCAGCGAACCCCAGGCCACCAGGGCAGAACAUGUGAACUUAACCUCUGCGCCACUGGUCUGGCCCUGAGGGUUAUGACUAGUGACUUCUGUGAAUGCCAUGAGUGGAUGAAGUGGCGCUGGUGGAUCAGGAACCCUGAUGUUGCCGACAGGUCAUCCAGAUGCCCGUGUCUUCCGUGGUUGCCUAGGACAUGAGCAAGCAGGAAGUGAGGGCCUUUCCCCUCCACACAAGGGCUUCACUGUCUGCACCAUCAGUCCCCACUCUGACCCCAGGUCUUCAAGGAAAUGAAAACCUGCUCCCCCUUGCAAAAGGCACACCUCCAUAUGCAGUCUACAGACGUGGGGGACUAGACCAGUGGCAUGAUCUUGCCAUCCUCCUGCCAGAAGUAAAUGAAAAGAAUUCAUCCAAAUACCCAGACCAACCAAAGAGGGGGUCUGAGGGAGGAGAUCCACACUGUGAAAGGAGAUGAGAACUGAGGAGACUGAGGCCUGAGAAGUCCAAAGCUGAGGAUGCAAGGAGACAAGGAGGCAAGGAGGCUGGGGAGGUGGAGAAGGCUGAGGAGGCAGCAGAGGCUGCUGUGAAAAGAGGAAGGCAGGGAGCAGUGUCUGGCUGGAAGGGUGGGGUCCUUCAGGUAUAUCUGAGAGUAAGGGCCAAAUGGACCCUUUCAGAUGCCAUUGGUUACAAACCAGCCUGCAUCUUUAGCAAAUGAAUGUAAACAAGAGGCCCCACUUAAACAAGCCUCACAUUAACAGUUCCUGCUUCCUCUAACUCAUCCUAAUUUCUGAAUACAAAUACAAUAGUGAUUUCAUGUUUAGUCUCCUUUAUGUUGCAAAUAAAUAGCAGGCCAUGCCCAUUGUGUCAUUCUUUGUAGCCCAGAGAGUGCAAAUAUAAAAUGUAAAAUAAUUCAUCUUAAAACUGUGCUGUGAAAAGUGAAUCAUUUUGACAGAUGAUCAUCACUCUUAGGGUACUGAAUUUUUAAAGUCUAAAAUUCACAUGUAGGAGAUUUGGCUACUUUAGAAAGAUAUUUGAACUGAUUAUCAGUUCAUCUUGUUACCAAACCAGGUUCAUUCUUGCCCACCACCCAGAAAGCCAAACACCAAGACAACGGGAUUACAGCAGAGAGAGGGUUUACUCACAAGGCAGCCAUGUGAGGAAGUGAGACCAUGAGCCCCAAAUGCACUUCCCCAAAAAUAGGGUCUCAGGGAUAUUUAUGGGACAGGGGGCAAGGCAGUCAGAAAUGUGGAGAGACAUGAUUAGAGGUGAGGUAAUUGAUGGUCUGCACAAACAUAGUCAGACUUCAUGCCUCUUCAUAGGACCCAUGUUCACAAAAUGGUGGCAUUAGCAUGAUCUGAGGGUGGAGUUUUUAGCCUCUUGUUGUCAAAUGGUCACAAAUCGGACAUCUCUGCAGGCCCAGUUGAUGAUUUGGUGGUCUCAACUGGCCUGAAGUGGACGAGGAGUUCUAAUUCCUGAAAAACAGCUCACAUGCCCAUUACCAUGGUGACCUAGGCUCCAGAAAGAUGUUAUCCAUAGGAGCCUAGUGGGAGUCAGAUAGCAUAUUGCCUAAACAGCACGGUUAACAAUGGAUGGGUUAAACAGCUAAAAGCUAUAAUCAGUAAUUGCAAAAAGGAAAAAAAACUUUAGUUCCUAGCUACUUAAUCAUCAAUAGCUAACUUUCUG